rnacentral:misc_RNA from 1 species
AUCGAUGGCCAGAACUCGAGUCAUCGGGCCAGCUUAUUACAAACUAGGAAUCCUGCACUGAGGUCACCGCGGCGCUUUUCGGACUCAGUUGCUGUCUCGCCGAUCCCUGGGUAUCCUCGUUGGCUUCCCCACUUUUUUUUUGUGACCUCGCCCGCUCCUCUGCGUCCACGUUGCCCCAACCGCCUCCUCCCCUACUUCUGUGUGAUCUACUCAGACAUCCCCCCUCCCGCAUGCACACGCAAAACACGCAAGGCAUACGGGAAAAACGCACAUUGUGAGGCAAAGGGAGAUACAGAAGUCACCACAUCCACGUUAAGGGGGAGAGACACCCCUCAUCCCUCCCCCUCCCCCCCCCACACACAGAGAGCGAGGCAGCCGGACAGUACAGUGUUGCUAUUAUUAUUAUUAGUUUCCUCUUCGUCAAAGGUGCUGCAGAAAACAAGAAAAGGAAGCAGGACAGAGAGAGGCGAUACCGAAAGGAAAAACAGCACAAAGAAACGGCAGGGACUCGCACGCACACGCACGCGCGCCUACGCCCAGAAGGCCAUAUACACCCACACCAACCCACUCACCCACACCUAAAAACGCACACAGACAGACAAGACAGAAGUAUAAGAGUAGCAUCGAGCACCAUCUACUGCAUAUAUCUUCUUCCACGAACUAAGCGUUGUUUCUCGUUUUUUUUUCUAUUUGGCAUUUUGUUUUCUUUGGUUGUGCUAGUUUCAUCCUUUUUGUGGAGCUGCCCUUGCACCGUCAUCUUAUUCUCCCCUCACGCCCUGCUCAGCCGCGGCGCUUAGUCGCUUGUUUUUUCUCAUUUCCACACACACACAUAUAUAUAUAUAUACAUAAAUAUAUAUAUAUAUAUAUAUAUAUAUAUAUAAGCAUAUGUAAAGAGAUAAACUUGUAUACGCAUAUAUGUUAUAUGUGUAUUUGUAUCGUUUCUUACUCUGUGUUACUCUCUGAGGCAUUCACUCUCUCUCUCCCCCAAAAAAUUGUAGUGUACACAUCUCCUUUUUUUUUCUGGUUUGCUGUUACUCUCGUUCCGUGUACAUAUUUCCUGUGUCGCUGCGGCGUUCGGCCUGGGCUACACACAUACACACACACACACACGCACCUCCACACGCUAUCCUUCUUCUUGCGCCGCCAUUCUUUUUCUUGCUCCAGCGAUUCUCUUGUGGGCGAUAAACAGUCGCGAAUUGUGUCAGCGACAGCAACAAAGGCCUAACAAAGUGGCAUACAGGCGAGAAAAUAUAUCGGAGGUGGACCGAUCAGAAGACACAGACGUGUCGCUUUCAAAACUAAAAGUCAAGAAGGGCGCGGCGACCGAGACUCCUGCCUGUCUCUGUCUCUCCGUAUAUAGUCGUAUUUGUGUCUUUCUGUGUGUAUGUGAGGGAGAGAUCUUACGACAACCCCACCGAACUCGUGGGCUGCAACCCCACCCCAUCCACAACAACAACCUCCACCCUCUUUCCUUCACACCCUCUUUUGUUGAGUGCCCGUUUGUACGCUUCAUUCUCUCCCUCUCCCCUUUUGUUGUCGUUGUUGGUAUUGUCGUUGUGUGCGGCGCCCCUUUUUUUUUCGUGCUCCUUACCCAGCUUCUUUGUGUUUCUUUCUGCCCCACCCUCCCUCCUUUUCUUUUGGUUUCAUGCCUUUGCUGGUGCUCACCGGCUAGCCCUCACUCCGUCUCCGCUGUUUCUUCCUCGUUCCUUUUUCCUUUGUGUUUUCAUUUUGACGUUCACGUUGCCCGCCGCCGCCGUUUCACCUCAUCAUUUCGUUUGCGUACACUGAAAAGGCUCUGUGUCUUUUCCUGUCUUGUUGCUUGGCGUAUGCUGAUCUGAUUUCUUCCCUGCUCUCUUCUUUCUUACCUCUCACGGCCCUCCCCUUUCUCCCACCUCCUCUCUCGCCGUCUACGACCACCUGUUUGCUGUGUAUGUGUUGUGUGCUGCCCCCUCUCUCUCCAUCUCUCUCCCUGUCCCUUUUCUGCAUUUGCACCUUGGGAUCUGCUGUUUUUCGUUGUUUUAUCUUUAUGUCAUCAUCGUUGAAAAAAAAACAGUACGACUGAACACAGACACACACACACACACAAAUCUUAUUUCCUUUUCUCGUUUCAUUCGUUUGGGUGCUUCUCCUUUGACGUGUGUUGUUGGGCUGUGCUGUUUGGGCGCUUGUGUCUUCACCUCCCCUCCCUCCCUCUCUCACUUUGUGUGCUUGUACACGUAUAUGCGUGUGUGUGCGUGUCUCUGCUUGUUCGACCACUCAGGCGUCUUCUUCGUUUCUUCGUUCGCCGCUCUCCCUCUCUCUCGGAGCCACACACACACACACACACACACACACACACACACACACGGCACGCUUCGUCCUUCUUUUCCUUUCUUUUUUUUAUUUUCGUUUUCACACUAGAUAUUUUGAUUACGUGUUUGGUUGCUGCCUUUUCUCUCUCUCGAUCUCUCUCUAUCCCUAUCUCCAUCUUCUCCCCCCUUCCCAUCACUCUGUCUUCCGUCGACGCUUGCCGCUUUCUUUUUUUUUGUUUGUCUCUGUCGCCCUUUAGAGAUCACACAUCACUUCGUCUCCUCUUCUCUUUUUCUUUCUCGGUUGUUUUCGGUUCCUCUUCUCGCGUUUGGGUGCCCACGCUCCUACCUUGUCUCCGCAUCCUCGCGUUGUACUCGGGUAAUUCGACCGCAGAGGGGAUCGAGCAGGGAAGAGUGCGCACAAGCACAUCCCCUUGGUAACAUCCACACUGCACAGGGCCGCUGCUGACGUUUUCUUGGUUUACAACCGUAUUAUGUGGCCGGAGGUGGCGAAGCUCGUGGACAGCCUUCAGAACGCUUCUUCCUCCAACCUGAGUGCCUCACGCAACGCCAAAGUCAGCUUGUCGCAUCGCAUGGACUUGUCUCCGCUGCAACUGCAUGAUGAGGCGGCGCCCCUACGCCGCAGUACCGGCGUGGCGGCCACCUUUGGUGGGCUUUCGCCUCCUCUGCCUAGCGAGCGCCAAUCCAUAGACCAGCCACGGCGGCACAAGAGCGACAAGCAUCACCACAUCAGCCGCGACAGUAGUCCUAACCCGACCAUCGGAUCCUGUAGCGGAGACGCACCGACUUCCCAGGCAAGCUUGCCGCUGCUGGCCGGUAUGAUGGCCUCGCGCAAGGAGCUUUUCACCGAGCUCGCCAUUCCUUCCACCCAAUCGAUGAAUGGGCAGCAGCAGGCUCAAGGCAUGAGCUCCUCUCCCGCUGAUGCCGCACAACCGUCAACAUCACAGGAUGGGGUUGGUACUGCUUCGCGCGCUCUCUCGCCGCGUGCGUUGUCCACUCUGGGAAGUCUAGGCCCUAGCGGGCCGGUGGCUGGGCUACUAGUCACAUCCCCGCCGGGUAAGGACCUGUCAAACGCCGCAUUACGAGGUGGUUUUCUGUCCGAAAGCAUCUCCCUCGUCGAGUCAUCAGUAUCGUCCAUAUCACGCAGCGCACUCCGGCUGCACCGCGGCAGAGCGCGUGAUCGCCUUCCCAGCGACCGUGAAGACUCCAGCGGCAUGGGCGGCGGCAGGAAUGAUGAUGUGCCGUCGCAGGUGCAACUGCCACCCAUCACACGCUCUCUGACGAGCGCCUCCGCCAGCUUGCGAGGUCGCCAGUUUCCCACCGCCCUGCAGGAGCUGGAGGGUUCGAGUGCUGGCAUUGGGUUGCCGACGCUGUCUUGCUCCUCCUCGCUCAACUCGAUGCGCCACGAAGACGAGGGCCCGUGUCUUGCGCCAGCCCUGAAGAUUGUGUUGGAGGCGUCGGCAGCUGUUGGGCAGCCACCGCGGCCGCUGCAUCCGGCGGCCCUCCCCAGAAGCAGCGAUGAGCGUUGUGAUGUCGACUCAAUCAAGCCAUCCAGCUCGUUCAGCUUGGUGCAGUCUGCACGCCGUGCGAUUGCCAUGGGCAUGGGCAGUGACGACGAUGCCAAGACGAGAGGGCAUCAGCCGACCCCAAUCGAGGUCAGCGACCGCGGCGACGGUACCACCAUGCUUGCCACAGCCCCGGUGUCGCUCACGGUGGAGGCGGCACCGCUGACGCUGACAGGCGGUCUGACGGGCCAGUCGUCCUCACGGAACUCGACCGGGAUGGGGCAAACGACCUGUGCAAACACCCCCGCCUUUCCGUUCGAAAAAAACACGGCCGUCACGCCCAUCGCGAACUCGGGCUUCAGCCGCUUCGACACCGCCGUUCUCGAGAGCGGCGAUUACGCACCAGAGGCGACGCGACCGCCGACCGGCGAGCGUUCCAGCGGCCCCAAGCACGGAAGCUUGCAAAGCCUUGACCACGACAACUACACGACCGCCGCGCGCGGCGCGACGGGCCAGCAGCGACCCAGCGACUCCAUCGAGAACGACGACGCCGCGCACCAGAAGCGGGCGAAGCGCCGCCUGAGGAAGACACGGAAGAAGGGCAAGGCCAAGCGGCAAAAAAACGGCGAGGCAGUGACGGAGGGCGAGAACGGCGUGGCUGUUGAUUCGCUGAAGGCGGCUGCGGUUGCUCACAGGUCGGACAGCGCCCUGGCCCGCAAGCGCGAGCGCAAGCGACGGCUGAAGCACGAGAAGAUGAAGGAGAUGUCGUCGGAGGAGCGUCGCCAGUACAAGGCGGAGCAUCAGCGCCGGCGUGCUGCGAAAAAGGCAAUGCGCUCCUCCGCAGCGGCGGCCUCGCCACACCUCGAGCACGACAAUCAUGGUGACUGGAGCGGCAGCAGGCCGUACCACAGCAGCGAUCCCUCUGCUUCUUUCUCUCCAGCGCCCGUGCCCACGGCGGGUGCUGUUAAGCAGCAUCCGCCGCUGUCGUCCUCGCCGGAACUGUCUCAGCCUUUGGCACCUGUUACCGCCGCGGCUGCAGACCCUGAUGCCAUGAUGACAAGCUCGCACGCGCGGCAGUCAUCAACAAAGUCGGAAGUCGAGCAGAGCGUCCCGAGCCUGGUCGACAGGUCCUCUUUGGAGGAUCUUGCUGCGACGCUUUCGCCGCAGGUCCUCGCCAGCACGUGCAGCGCGUCCACCAAUGCGCUGGCCGACGGAAGCAGUUCCUUGCUGAAAGCGUUUCAAGGACGGCGGUGCACGAGCGCUUCUGGUGGAGGCGCUCCCGUUGUUCCCAGCACGGCGUACCCUUCGAAGUUGAUGUCGAGCACCCCGGUGCCGUUUCGGCGUCGCCUUUUCACCGACAUUGCUGGCAGGCCGCAACAUCAGGGAGGCACAAACAGCUUUCUCCACGUAAGCAGCAGCACCCCAGCCAACGUCAGCGGCCUGGAAGGGCAGCUGCAGGUCCACAAUGCGGACGCCGAGGGCUUCGGUAUGGAGCACGAUGCUACGCUUGAGGCAAGUGGCGGCAGCGCGGAUAACUACGAUGACAACGAGAGCCGAGGUCCACCGCGCAGACAACCGAUGGACGAAAGCGGCUCCGUCGUCGACGUGGUUCCCGAGCGCGCUCUGAUGCCCGACGGGGGUGCGCUGAGUCCAUCCCCACACCUUCCCGCAGCCGCGGCGGGAUCCGGAACAGCCGCCAUUCUGGAACUGAAGCAGCAACAGGAGGUGCAGCAGCGGUAUCGGCUGCCCUCGCUGGCGGCCGGCACUUCGCUCGCUGCCAUGCUUGUCUCCGUGGCCAAUGCAAAUGGCGAUGCCGCUUCGGCCGAUGCGAGCGAGGCUUCGCUGAUGACUGCGUCUGCCCCAGGACGGGGGGCCGAUCAUUGUCAAGGGUCGAGUCUGCCUCUGCGACCCGAUGUGAAGACGAGCCAGUCAGUGGAGCCAGGCCUGAACCAGUCGCCCACGGGCGAUGCGCUGACUGGCGCCGUCACGAAGGGGACCGGCGUCAUGCCCGUCACCUCCAUGUCGUACUGCUCCGCAUACAGUCGAUCUCAUACGAGGGAUGGGGAGCCGGCAGCAGUCGAGCCGGCGGUGAAGGGUGCUGGUGGUGCGGAAGGGUGUGGCGCAGGGCAAAAAGCUCUAACACCGGCGGCAGCCGUAUCAGCAGCAAUGGCAGCGGCGCGGAAGGCCAGACGGAGCCCGUCCUCGUCGUGCUCUUCUUUGCGUAGCCGCAGUAGCGACGACGAGAGCGCCGACGGCAGCUCCGGGUACAGCUACAGCAGCUACAGUAGCAGCGGUAGCUUGGUGCCGGAGGUGCUGCAGCUGGUGGGAGGCUGCACUGUGCCGCCCCCUGUGGCUGCCUUCUCCGAUCUCAAGUACCGCUACUCUUGCGUGCCGCAGCUGCACAGCUACGCCGAGCCGGCUAUCAUCCACGAGUGGAACCUCGCCGAGGGCUGCUGGGGCAGUGUGGAGACGAGCGUGGUGCUGAAUCCGCAGCCCUUCUCGAAGGGGAACAUGCGUGCGUCCUACUACAUGAUCGACAUGCGUCGGCUCAACUGCCUCUUGGUGGCGAAGCGGUAUUUGAGGUCGACCGUGAGGGACGACCAGUACUUUGACGACGUCUCAAUGCACAGCAUUGCGGGGCACUGGGCACGUGCCUUCAACAUGAUGCAUCCACCGAAGGAGGUCCGCUUCGUCCCUGCGGCUGUGUUGGUCCUACCGAAGCGCAACCCGCCGCUGAUACUGGCCAUGGAGCCGCAGCUGACAGGCAAGUUUGUGAAGUACAAUAACAACUGCGGCUACGUGCGGCGAAAGGCGCGGUGGACGCCGCAGGCCUUCUCGCACUUCACGUACCACGCCAGCAAUCAUGAGCUGAUGGUGGUGGACAUCCAAGGCGUCGACGACUACUACACCGACCCGCAGAUUCUCUCCUCAGACGGGGAGGGAUAUGGCCGCGGCAACCUCGGCGAAGAGGGCAUCCGGCGCUUCCUCGAGAGCCACAGGUGCAACGAGGUUUGUCGCGCUGUGGGCCUGCCUCCGCUGCAGCGCAACGCCAAGGGUGCCGUUAUCACACCUCUGGCGUCGCCAGGGAGUGGCCGUAGCAGCGCCGGGCCAGGCACACCGGCGGCAAAGGAUCGUCUGAAUACAGCGAUGCCCUGCGCGUCUGGGUUGAAGGAGGAGCGACUCCCCCCGAAGGCCUUCGUGCUCGCCCGCCGCGCUUCCUCGGGGAACACUCCAGGCCACGAGCACAACGGCGUGCAGCUCGGUUCGCGACAGCCGAGCGAGACCAACCUGAUGUUGUCGCCAGCGCCGCCACCGCGGCAGACGCUGCACACCGGCAGCAGACCGUCGUCUCCGUCGCCACUGGCAGCAGCGCCUUCUGCGCUGACCCCGGGAGCCUUGCCACACCGCGUGGGGCCGGUGCAGAACUGCGGCGUAAAGUACGUUCGCUACCCGCGACAGGCGCUCAUCCGGCCGCAGAGCCAGUACUUCGUCUCCACGGUCGCGGGCGGCCUCAUGUCAGUGCCGCCGCAAGGCAGUAGUGCGCCAAACGGGUACGGUAGCGGCAGCUCCUUCUCGGCGCUUCAAAGCUACCCUCCCGCGAGUGAGCAGAGCGGCGGCAAGGCGGGCGGGUCGCCAACCAGCGGGAGCGCCGGCGCGCCCAGCGGUAUGGCUGGUGUUGGCCACGCCAGUGCAAGUCCCCCGCCACAAGGCUCUGUGAUGGUGGCGGUGCCGCUGCUGCGCCCCCCCGCGGGGGGGCGUCCCGGAUACGCCGGCGCCCAGUCUAGCGUUAGCCCGGAAGGAUUCCACCUCUUGACGGCGCCGAGGAGCGGAGAGAACGUCGGUUCGUUGCACCAGACGCCGCAUGUGCGGCCCAGUGGAACGACCAAUCUGGGCGGUGGCGUGCCCAAUUUCUACCCGCACCCACCCGUGACGGGCGCUGUCGGCAGCCCUACCGGAAGAUGCGCCUCGCACCAGAGCUCGUUUGCUGCAGUGGCGCCGACGAUUCAAUCCACGGAAGAGGUAGCCAUGGCACAUAGGCCGAGGUCACGUCGCCAGUCCUUCAGUCGCCGGCCGGUGUUCUCGGCGGUGGAGGAGAUGCCGAAGAGGUCCGAGUCCCGCUACCAUGGCCACCCUCAUUUGCACUGAGGCGAGAGAGUGUAUGUUUGUGCGUGUGCUCGCUGCCAAUGGUGCGGCGCGUAGCACUUGUUGACGUAUACCCGAUGUGAACGUUGUGCUGAUGCUACCACUUGUGCACGCACUGGCGCUCGUUUCUCUUCUCUUGACUUCCCUCUUUUGGAGGGAGAAGAGAGGGUGGCCGUGGUGGUAACAUAUUGGUGCACCCCACCCUCUCUUUCUCUCUCUGUAUGUGUGCACCAUUCGCAGGCACACCCCACACACGUAUCGGCGCGCUUCUCCCUUCUCCUUUGUUCCUUCCAG